rnacentral:lncRNA from 1 species
GAUUUCAAUAUUCUUUGAUUUUCCUCCUCAGAUUCUUUGUGAUUUGAAUCCAGUAGUGAGAUAAGGUUUGUAGGUGUUGACGAAUCGUUUGUGGGGUUGUUGUGGUUGAUGAUUUCGAUCCCCAUCUCAAAGUGCUUAGUUCUUCGCCUGAUUUGAUUGUUCCUUGUCUCGUUUUUAGCUGUGUUCCUCCUUUUGAUUUGAGUUCCGUUGAUGAGAUAAGGAUUUGUGGGCUGUUCUAAUGGGUGAUUUCUAUGCCCGUUUGUUGUGAUUUGGUGGUGAAUAAGUUGGUACGGAAUCUAUCUUCGCAUCUAGUGAAAUUUGCCUAUCUGGUCUGUUCUAUUUGGAUCCUUACCUUUCAAUUUGCCAGGUCUUAUACAUAUCUUGAUUCCCUUGUUUACACUACUAAAAAACGGUUUUCAAGGGCGGUUGAAAUAGCAUUUGUAGCUCCGAGCUUUCGCAGCUACAAAUAGUUGUUUGCAGG